rnacentral:lncRNA from 1 species
UCUCAUACUCAUACUCAAGAUACGUGCCACUAAUUUUAAUAAGAAUUAAUUUCAUACAGCUUUCUACAAAUAUAAUAAAUUAUAAAUGUAUUUUUAUAAUAUUCAACUUUUAUAUGCUAUUUGGUACAAAAAUUCUAAUAUUUUUAAAUAUGUCUAUGUUGUUACAAUCUGUUAUAAAAAAUUAGUUAAUCAUAGAUAAAAUACUUAACCAUGUUGAUGAGGUGAAUUAAUCUUUUUACCCCUCUUUAAUUAAUAGUUUGAAUUUUUGGAGAGACGUAUUUAUGAUGACAAAAAUAUCAUUUUACUUAUAAAAUAAACAGUAUUUUAACGGUAACAAACCAGAGGAAAAUAUAUAUUUGAAAAUAUUAUGAUUUUUGCAGGGACAAAAUUAAAAAAUUAGAUUUUAUAGAAAUAUAUUAUUAAUUUAUUAUGUUUGCAGAGAUCUGUAUAAAAUUAACCUUUUAAAUAAACACCUUGCCUCGAUUCAAAAAUAAACUAACUCAGAUCAAAACAACCGGA